UUGUCGUUGUCGCCAAAUUAGAAAUGUUUCUAAUUUUGCCGACGACAAUGGCCGCUGUAGAGCUGCCACUAACAUGUGAAAUGUAAAAUUAUUCAAAGUUCUAACAAGUAUGACGUUAUUUUGCCAGCAGAAACGUAAAAUAGCUUUGAUAUAUCAUUUAUAAUAAGAAUCGAUUAUUUAAAAUAAAUAAAUCGACCAUGUUUACAUUUUUUGCGUAAAUAAUUUCACUUUAAACUAAAUAUGUAAAUUUUAUUGAAGUGAAAGAUGUUAGUACGGCAACAAUGACAUUGCUGUUUGAUAUGUCGCUGCCGUCUUCAAAAUGUUUAAGACGCUGGCUUCAAAGCGACAUUUGUGAUCAGCCGUCGCUACGUCGUGUCGUGUCGUCGUCUUUGUGUUCAGCACUUAACACUUAACCCAUGGGUUGGCAAUAGUUACCUCAUCGUUUUGCUGACAACCCAGCAAGUCAUGUGUACUGAAACUCCAACACAUUCAAAGAAAUUUUAAUAACACCACUACAUACACACAACAAAGGGUAAAAUGUGCACAAACAUUUAACUCAACUCUUCUCUCAUACAGCACACUGAAUGAUAGAAAGAAACAACCAAAGUUCUCGUGUUUGAACAAGUUUUGUUUUGAGCUAUAUCAUGGCUGCUUGUGAAGUAUUAUUUUGCGUGUUUUAUUUAAUUCAGUGAUCUGCAGCCUAAUUAAAGUUUAAAUUUUUGAAGCACGCAUAUUUAAAUAAGUAAAACGUAAAAUAAAGGUUUUCUAAAGCCAAAAUAUGGAAUUGAAGAGGGUGAUACAGAAAUAGUUCAUUGCACUGUCAAUUCGAAGCACGCAAUAGAAGCUACACCAACAAUGGUCAACAUCAAUGGCGAAACCAUUGAAUACAUAUUUCAAACCUCAUAUGGAGCGUUAAAGGUACGCAAACUUAUUGGUGUCACUUAUUGUAGCAGCGUAGAACUUUCGAAGCGAUGGAAUAUGUGCUGCAAGCAAAUCCAAAACUAUGGACGCAAACGCUGCUACAUGGAACACAAAUCAUUCACACAACAGAUAUUACGUUUAAUGUAACUUUUUUGCGUGCAAUUAAACCUUUUGCUCAACACAAGCACGAGAAUUGGAACGACAUGGUUUAGGUGCUUUUGAAACCAUUAUCACGAAGUGUGUCAACUGGGUUUGUCAAUGAGCUAGAGGGCAAAGCAGUUUCACUAUCUUUGAGCUUACCGGCACUUGGCCGUGCCAUUAGCAGCUAAAACACAGAAAUUAAAGGGAGGACUUUUUUGAUUAAUUUUCACCUUGUAUUGAGGAAUCAUAACGUUGUUGUAUCGCUUUACAAGGACAUAAAUUCACCGAAAUUAGUUCAAUGGAAAUACUACAGCAAGAGCAUGGAUGUUAAGACUUUAACGGUGCCGUGUUAGAUUUAGAAUUCCUGAAACAUAAGAAACCCUCCUCCCAGAUGAAUCUAGUACUAGUGAAAUUAAUGAAAGAACAGAUCUAAUAAUUGUUCAAAUAUUCAUUUUCACCUACUUUAUACAUAUAUAUAUAGUGUAGUACGAUAAUAUAUUUAUAAAGUAAAUAUAAUAAUAAACAACUAAA